GACGAACGCUGGCGGCGUGCUUAACACAUGCAAGUCGAACGGUAAGGCCCUUCGGGGUACACGAGUGGCGAACGGGUGAGUAACACGUGGGGGAUCUGCCCUGCACUUCGGGAUAAGCCUGGGAAACUGGGUCUAAUACCGGAUAGGACCCUGGGAUGCAUGUCCUGGGGUGGAAAGCUUUUGCGGUGUGGGAUGGGCCCGCGGCCUAUCAGCUUGUUGGUGGGGUGAUGGCCUACCAAGGCGACGACGGGUAGCCGGCCUGAGAGGGUGACCGGCCACACUGGCACUGAGAUACGGCCCAGACUCCUACGGGAGGCAGCAGUGGGGAAUAUUGCACAAUGGGCGCAAGCCUGAUGCAGCGACGCCGCGUGAGGGAUGACGGCCUUCGGGUUGUAAACCUCUUUCAGCACCGACGAAGCGCGAGUGACGGUAGGUGCAGAAGAAGGACCGGCCAACUACGUGCCAGCAGCCGCCGCUG
rnacentral:rRNA from 1 species